UUUGUAUAAUGGGUCAGCGACUUAUAUUCAGUGGCAAGGUUAACCAUCUAGGGGAGCCGUAGGGAAACCGAGUCUUAACUGGGCGUUCAGUCUCUGGAUAUAGACCCGAAACCAGGUGAUCUAGCCAUGGGCAGGUUGAAGGUUGAGUAACAUCAACUGGAGGACCGAACCGACUAAUGUUGAAAAAUUAGCGGAUGACUUGUGGCUAGGGGUGAAAGGCCAAUCAAACCUGGAGAUAGCUGGUUCUCCCCGAAAGCUAUUUAGGUAGCGCCUCGGACGAAUACUACUGGGGGUAGAGCACUGUUAAGGCUAGGGGGUCAUCCCGACUUACCAACCCUUUGCAAACUCCGAAUACCAGUAAGUACUAUCCGGGAGACACACGGCGGGUGCUAACGUCCGUCGUGGAGAGGGAAACAACCCAGACCGCCAGCUAAGGUCCCAAAUUACUACUAAGUGGGAAACGAUGUGGGAAGGCUCAGACAGCCAGGAUGUUGGCUUAGAAGCAGCCAUCAUUUAAAGAAAGCGUAAUAGCUCACUGGUCGAGUCGGCCUGCGCGGAAGAUGUAACGGGGCUAAGUAGUAAACC
rnacentral:rRNA from 2 species